AAGGAGUCGUCUUCGUAUGCGAGUGUUCGGGUGUAAAACCCCUAUGCGUAAUGAAAGUGAACGUAGGUGAGAGCUUCGGCGCAUCAUCGACCGAUCCUGAUGUUCUCGGAUGGAUUUGAGUAAGAGCAUACGGGGCCGGACCCGAAAGAAGGUGAACUAUGCCUGUAUAGGGUGAAGCCAGAGGAAACUCUGGUGGAGGCCCGCAGCGGUUCUGACGUGCAAAUCGAUCGUCAAAUAUGGGCAUGGGGGCGAAAGACUAAUCGAACCUUCUAGUAGCUGGUUUCCGC
rnacentral:misc_RNA from 1 species